CGUUUCACUAAAUUAGAUGCCACUCGCCCCAUUAGAGAAAAAUCAUCAAGGAAUUUAUCUGCUUUAUCUUUAAGAGCUUUAGGCAAUUCCGAAAUAUAAGUAUUAAAUNGUGCCAAGCUGACCACCACAUCUUUUCUGAAUCAUGUCUUGAUUCACUGCCAAUUCUUUAAAUUUUGCAACAAAGCUUGUUUGAUGAACAUCCACGCCAUCUUCCCCAUAAUAAAACUGAACGAUUGAUCCGUCAGCAUCACGAACUGUAUGAUCAUAGCCAAUUUUCAGACACUCGAGAUUUUUAAUCAGGCAUCUUUGAAGGUAUCCACUGCGAGAUGUUUUGACUGCUGUAUCAACAAGCCCCUCACGACCAGCCAUGCAAUGAAAAUAAUAUUC
rnacentral:misc_RNA from 1 species